UACGAGAGGUGCAAGCGUUAUUCGGAAUUAUUGGGCGUAAAGGGUGCGUAGACGGUAUGUUAAGUCAGUUGUCAAAUUCCUUAGCCUAACUGAGGGCUCGCGACUGAUACUGAUGUACUUGAGGGUGGAAGAGAGAAGUGGAAUUCUCGGAGUAGCGGUAAAAUGCGUAGAUCUCGAGAGGAACACCGAUGGCGAAGGCAGCUUCUUGGUCCACUCCUGACGUUGAGGCACGAAAGCGUGGGGAGCAAACAGG
rnacentral:rRNA from 1 species